UUUAAUCGUAACCAUAACUUUCCGUAUCUAAUUUUGAUCAUUUGUCUUAUUUAAAAUAUUUUUAUGAUUAUUAUUUUUAUUGUUAUUAGAUGAUAAAACAUGAAUAGUACUACUUUAUACUUGACUUAUAUUUUUUUUACUUUUUAAAAUAAAUUAAAUAAGACGUACGAUUAAAGUUGGAUGCAUAAACUUAAA
rfam:Oryza sativa (indica cultivar-group) chromosome 4, whole genome shotgun sequence.